UGAUGCCCAUCAGCAAGGGAGCAGCAGAAUUCUGCACAAGCUGUAAGCGGCUAAGGGAGGAUUGGUCUACUCCACAGUACAGCGAGUUGCAGUAAUCAAGCCGCGACAUUACA